UACGAAGGGGGCUAGCGUUGCUCGGAUUGACUGGGCGUAAAGGGCGCGUAGGCGGUUCGUACAGUCAGACGUGAAAUUCCUGGGCUCAACCUGGGGGCUGCGUUUGAUACGUGCGGACUUGAGUGCGGAAGAGGGUCGUGGAAUUCCCAGUGUAGAGGUGAAAUUCGUAGAUAUUGGGAAGAACACCGGUGGCGAAGGCGGCCAUCUGGACCGCAACUGACGCUGAGGCGCGAAAGCGUGGGGAGCAAACAGGG
rnacentral:rRNA from 1 species